GACGAACGCUGGCGGCGUGCUUAACACAUGCAAGUCGAACGGUAAGGCCCUUCGGGGUACACGACUGGCGAAUGGGUGAGAAACACGUGGGUGAUCAGCCCUGCACUUCGGGGUAAGCCUGGGAAACUGGGUCUAAUACCGGACAGGACCACUGCGUGCAUGGGUGGUGGUGGAAAGCUUUUGCGGGGUGGGAUAGGCCCGCGGCCUAUCAGCUUGUUGGUGGGGUGAUGGCCUACCAAGGCGACGACGGGUAGCCGGCCUGAGAGGGUGACCGGCCACACUCGGACGGAGAUACGGCCCAGACUCCUAAGGGAGGCAGCAGUGGGGAGUAUUGCACAAUGGGCGCAAGCCUGAUGCAGCGACGCCGCGUGAGGGAUGACGGCCGUCGGGUUGUGAACCUCUUUCAGCACCGACGAAGCGCAAGUGACGGUAGGUGCAGAAGAAGGACCGGCCAACUACGUGCCAGCCGCCGCGGUAA
rnacentral:rRNA from 1 species